rnacentral:lncRNA from 1 species
UGAGGCAGGACCAGAAAGAAAUUAAUUACCUAGAUCUUAAUAUAAGUAUAGUUAGAGGAGAAUACCAGACAAAAGUAUUCCGUAAAGAAGCUUAUGUUCCCCUCUUUAUCCAUAGAGAUUCCAAAGAAUCUUGGCACACAAAAAUGGUGGCAUUUAGGGCUCUCCUAAAUAGAAUACAGACACACUGUUCUAUCUGGCAAAACAAUCAAGAAGAAUUAGAAUGGAUAAUUAAGCAGGCAGAGAUCCACGGAUACAAGCGUAGAGAGAUAUUAAAACUGUGGCAAUGUAUAAACAAACAAAAAACAAACAAACAAAGACGAGAGAACAAAGAACAGUAUAAGAAUCCUUAC